UAAAUUUCUUGUCCUUUGAUGAUGACAGAGUGCAUACCCUUCCCAUGGCUCUUUAGGGGUGCUUCUCCCACCCAAGCGGACUGGCAUCUUUAAAGUGGUAAGUGUGCACCAUCGUAGCUAAUGCCUGAGUCAAUUUUGCAAAUACAGGCUCAAUGUUAGCAGGUUCCCUCUUUGCUGCAGAUUCCUGGAGUGGACAAAAAAGGAAACACACCACAGCCAUCUUAGUGAAUUACACAGUACUGCUUGCCCUGGUGAGGCCGUGAUGAGGGAUAUGGGGAGGGGGCCAGGUAUGAACUGUUUUUCCCCAGGAAGAUUCUUUUCACUUCCUUUUCGGCCUACUCAAAUGCUCCUUUGACUUGAACUGAAGUCACAGCUCAAGGUGCGCUUUUGACUAGGACACCUGCACAAGGUCUGACCGUCUCGCCAGUGUUCAAAAACCGCUUGUGAAAUGAAUGAGCACAGCCCUGGAGGUAGACGAGACAUCUUCCCCAGCCCAGGUCCCAAGUUCCUCAUGUUCCUCUCACAUCAAUGAAGAGGCUCCUCUCUGCCCUCCAGUCCUUACAGCACUCCUGUGAAACAGAUACCGUCACCCCCACUUAUCAGAUGAAAAAAACCAAGGCUCAGAAAAGUUCAACAACUUGCUCAAGAUCAUUAGCAGAGCUGGGAUUUGGAAACAAACAGUAGACCCCAGAGCCCCUACUUUUAAAUGCAGCUCUGCCGAGAGAUGCAGAAGGCAGGCCAGUGCCCUGUUAUCCAUGAAGGGACACUGUAGAAAAUGAGAGGCCACAGGAAGGCCAGCAGCACCUGCUCAUUGCUCGGACUCCCACAGCCCUUCCAGGCCUCUCCGGCUCCAGGCAGGGAUGGAAAUCUGCUCCUCGGCAGGUUAGAGCUCUGAGGAGUCCCAGAAAGCACAGUCUUUUGCAGCCUUGAGCUCUUCCCAGCAUUGCCAGGGCAGGAAUUGCCCGAGGAUUGUCUGGGAUGCCAUCCUGGAUCGUCACCCUUCCCCGCAAACCACAGGCCCUCAACCCCUGGCUGCUGCCUCUUCCGGAAAACAUACCUGUUAGAUAAAACGUGUGUGUGCCAGCUCACUUACCUGCUGUGGGAUCUUGCACAAGUUGCUUGAUAUCUCUGUGCCUCAGUUUCCUCACCUGACAAAUGGAGAUAACCGCAUCGCCUUCCCGGGAUGCGUUACAAGAAUCCAGUGCAAAUGCUUACAAACAGAUGAGAAGCAUCCCUGCCGUGUGAGAAGCUCUCAGGAAGUGUUAGCCAUCAGCAGCAGCAGCAUUGCUGUGAUAUUUAUUAUUGAGGUUGAUGAUGGUCUUAUGUGCCUAUAUAUCCAGGUACUUGGUAGAGUGUCUGGCAUGAAUAAGCACUCAAUAAUCAUCGACUCGAUGAGGGAAUGUACUUCGAAGCUAAUUUUUUCCCCAAGGUAUUACCCUUCCCAGGAAAAUUUAAAUUUAAACAGAAGAUCCGCACGUUGAUGGCAACGCUUAAUGCGUAAGUGGCUAAUGGUGUGGUUCCAGAUGUCUCUGGGGAAGGGAUUUAAAGUCAGUGGUUGUUUUCAUAUCUAGUCAGUCAGUUAACUCAUAAUAUAGCUAGCCCUCGUCGGUAGCUCAUAGUUAUCUUCCCUAAGGUGGAAUC